rnacentral:rRNA from 1 species
GAGCUUGCUCUGAUUUGAUUUUUUGAUUUCAAAGAGUGGCGAACGGGUGAGUAACACGUGGGUAACCUACCUCUUAGCAGGGGAUAACAUUUGGAAACAAGUGCUAAUACCGUAUAAUACCAACAACCGCAUGGUUGUUGGUUGAAAGAUGGUUCUGCUAUCACUAAGAGAUGGACCCGCGGUGCAUUAGCUAGUUGGUAAGGUAAUGGCUUACCAAGGCAAUGAUGCAUAGCCGAGUUGAGAGACUGAUCGGCCACAAUGGGACUGAGACACGGCCCAUACUCCUACGGGAGGCAGCAGUAGGGAAUCUUCCACAAUGGGCGCAAGCCUGAUGGAGCAACGCCGCGUGUGUGAUGAAGGGUUUCGGCUCGUAAAACACUGUUAUAAGAGAAGAACGGCACUGAGAGUAACUGUUCAGUGUGUGACGGUAUCUUACCAGAAAGGAACGGCUAAAUACGUGCCAGCAGCCGCGGUAAUACGUAUGUUCCAAGCGUUAUCCGGAUUUAUUGGGCGUAAAGCGAGCGCAGACGGUUAUUUAAGUCUGAAGUGAAAGCCCUCAGCUCAACUGAGGAAUUGCUUUGGAAACUGGAUGACUUGAGUGCAGUAGAGGAAAGUGGAACUCCAUGUGUAGCGGUGAAAUGCGUAGAUAUAUGGAAGAACACCAGUGGCGAAGGCGGCUUUCUGGACUGUAACUGACGUUGAGGCUCGAAAGUGUGGGUAGCAAACAGGAUUAGAUACCCUGGUAGUCCACACCGUAAACGAUGAGUGCUAGAUGUUCGAGGGUUUCCGCCCUUGAGUGUCGCAGCUAACGCA